CGGGAGAGGAGCAUGCGCAGUGUUUACUGGAGUUGUGCGCAUGCUCGCUUGAGGCAUUUUUCUCUUACCAGCGCAAUGUCCCUAGGAGGUCAUGCACCGGUUAAACUCUGCUAUUAUGCCUCUUACUGGGCAUGCUCGAGCCCACGGGCCCAACUCCUGAGAUCCCAUCUGGAAGCUGCUGAUCACCAGUUUCAAGUGUUUCUGUUUAUUGGGAGACUGCCUUCCUCUGGCACUGGCAGUGACCAAUUAUUAUUUUAGAGAGAUUGUUAACUGCCUGCUCAUCACCUGAUGAAUAUCAGGAAUGUGGCCUGACAUUCCUGGUACACGGAGCGCCUUCUUUUCGUUUAGAGCAUUGGUGGCUCCACAUUAGAAGCAUCCUAUGUAGCUGUUCUGGCUGCAGCUGCCCAAGUCUGCCUGGGCCUCCUGCAUGAGGUCACGAGUCUUAAUAAAGCCACUGACCCACACAUUUGGAAUCGUACUGACUUUUCACAACUAACAGCCAACACAUUGCCAAGAAGCAAUUCAAUUGUUGAGGAUAUCACAUCAUGCCAGGGAAAGAGAGAUGGAAUUCAGAAAGCCUGGGAUAUUGCAGGUUUAUCCUGACAGUAACCUCUCCCCAGGUCGGAAGACCUCUCAGGCUCUGUUUCUAGGGAGGCUGACCUGCUGACAAUGCUCCUAGCUGGAUUUUGUAAGUGGUCUUGAAUAAAGUCUUCCUUACUGUUUUAACAAGAGACAGGGUAAUGUUCAUUGAAUAUCUUAUACAAAGAGGAAAUCUGGCACAGAAGUGGACACGCACUCGGAGGGAAAAUGCCAAGUGACAAUGAAGGCAGAGAUCAGGUGAUGCAUCUGCAAGCUGAGCAACAUCAGGAAUUGCCAAAAACCACCAGGAGCUGGAGAGGCCUGGGACAGAGCCUCCCAUGGAGCCUCAAGGGAGCCAGCCCUGCCCAUGGAGAGGCCUGGGACGGAGCCUCCCACGGAGCCUCAAGGGAGCCAGCCCUGCCCACGCCUUGAUCUUUGACGUCCGACCUCAAGAACUAUGAGAGAACCCAUUUCUGUUGGUGAAGACUCCCCGUCUGUGGUCCCCUAUCCUGGCAGCCCUGGGAAGCUGACCUCUGGUCCCUCUGCAUCCCUGGCAUCACUCUGCCUCCCCCUCUUUUUCUCCAGUGAAUCCGACACACUCUCAGUGAGACAGCCAGGUGGCAAGGGGUCCUCGGAGAAACUCCAGCCGGCCUGCUCACUGGGCAUGUACACUGGAGUAGAGCCACAGAAGUUCAUGGUGUUUGCAGCAGGGAGGAGCCUGGCCACUCCUCUUCCUGGUUGGAACCUGGGAUUUAUUUUGUGAGGCGGGAAGCCUAUACUGGGGAGACUCUUGUUCUGCUGAGUCACCAUUCCCCCUUUAUUUUCCUUUUUGCCCAAUAAAUCCUAUUAUUCUCAGUCUUCAAAUU
rnacentral:lncRNA from 1 species